UAUCAUAAAAAAACUGAUAAGAAAUGUUUAUUUUUCAAGCACUAAAAUGCAAAAGCCCCACACUCCACUGAAGGAAAAAAAAAAAGCUUAAUUAAAAGCAGAACUUUUCUGAAGGGCAAUCAGACCUAGUAUCCACAUAAAAUCACCACACUGGGCACAGGAGACACCAGCAACCCAAAGGCCAACAAUAAAUGAACCCCGUAAAACCAGAAAUAAAAUAAGCUCUCUGUCUGAGGCUUGAGGCAUGGGGAGGGCUGGCCCCUGUGGCUGUAUAAUUGUCCAGCUCUUACCUCAUUUAGGCCAAUUAGGAAAUGACCUGGAGGUGACCACUUGUGCUUUAUAUCGAAAACCCAAAGUAGAAAGGGCUCGCCCAAAAGACGAGGGCUGGAGGUGUGAUAAGACUGGAGGCAUGGGCACGGAGGAGCAUUGUGGUUCUUUCUGUCCUGACUCUCUCAGGAGACGCACAGUGGAUUUUCUGACUCACAAGGUGAUGAGACCGCAAUUCCAGCACGCAUUGGCAGGACCUGAUUGGCCAGAGCCAUGAACUGGAUUUAAGCCUCUGAGCCCCGGUCUGAGGCAGCACAGGAAGGCAGCAGGGGUGAGGGCGAAUGAGCUGAAAUCGUGACUCCUCAAUGUGUGGUCCUGAAGCAGCAGCUACAUCCUCACCUGAUUGCUGGUUAGAAACAUUUCGGGCCCCUCCCCGGACCUGCUGGAGCAGAAUUGCAGUUUAAUAAGAUGCCCAGGUAAUUCAUGAUCACACGCUAGCAUGAAAACUCUGGCUUAUCUGAGGCCUGAAGGGCACGAAUGUACUGCACCCAGCCUCCAGAGCCUGGCUCCAGCCACAUUCACCACUAAGACUAAGUGGCGUUACUAAGACUUUCAGAACCUGUAAAAUGGAGAAUGUCAUCCCUGACCUGCCCAACUCUCCGGAGAGAAUGUUAAGGAAGGAAAAUGAGAUGCAUCCAUCAGAAAGUGCCUUCGAAAGCUCUUCCCGCGAAUAAAAGCUCUGAUGUGAUCCUGACAACCACUCAGAACAAAGGAAGCCAAGCCCACUGUACACACAAGGAGGCACAGACGUAGAGAUGAAAGCACCAGCGGGGGUCAUGCCACAGGUUGGAGCUCUGGCUGGCUUAGAACCCAGGUGUUUCCACCCCUCAUCUAGGACUGGCUUAGGACAAGGAGCAGUGCACACCCCACGUUAGUGUUUGUACGAUUAUCUGUUCAAUGACUAGCACCACUGAGUUAAGCUCUGUGUAGGAAGGAAUUCUGUUUCCUUCUGUUGAUGUUGUCCCCACUGUCUAGCACAAUGUGCAAUACACAAUAGGUUCUUAAUACA
rnacentral:lncRNA from 1 species